rnacentral:rRNA from 1 species
UGGGGAAUUUUGGACAAUGGGCGCAAGCCUGAUCCAGCCAUGCCGCGUGCAGGAUGAAGGCCUUCGGGUUGUAAACUGCUUUUGUACGGAACGAAAAGGUGCCUUCUAAUAAAGGGCGCUCAUGACGGUACCGUAAGAAUAAGCACCGGCUAACUACGUGCCAGCAGCCGCGGUAAUACGUAGGGUGCGAGCGUUAACCGGAAUUACUGGGCGUAAAGCGUGCGCAGGCGGUUUUGUAAGACAGAGGUGAAAUCCCCGGGCUCAACCUGGGAACUGCCUUUGUGGCUGCAAGGCUGGAGUGCGGCAGAGGGGGAUGGAAUUCCGCGUGUAGCAGUGAAAUGCGUAGAUAUGCGGAGGAACACCGAUGGCGAAGGCAAUCCCCUGGGCCUGCACUGACGCUCAUGCACGAAAGCGUGGGGAGCAAACA